UACGUAGGGUGCAAGCGUUGCCCGGAUUUAUUGGGCGUAAAGGGCGCGCAGGCGGCUACGCACGUCCGUUGUGAAAUCGCUCGGCUCAACUGGGCGGGGUCGGCGGAUACGGCGUAGCUGGAGCAAGCUAGGGGGCAAUGGAAUUCCCGGUGUAGUGGUGGAAUGCGUAGAUAUCGGGAGGAACACCGGUGGCGAAGGCGGCAUCCUGGACCAUGACUGACGCUGAGGAGCGAAAGCCAGGGGAGCAAACGGG
rnacentral:rRNA from 1 species